rnacentral:rRNA from 1 species
GACGUAGGGCGCGAGCGUUUGUCCGGAUUUAUUGGGCGUAAAGAGCUCGUAGGCGGCUUGUCGCGUCGUUCGUGAAAACCUGCAGCUCAACUGCAGGCUUGCGGUCGAUACGGGCAGGCUGGAGUUCGGUAGGGGAGACUGGAAUUCCUGGUGUAGCGGUGAAAUGCGCAGAUAUCAGGAGGAACACCGGUGGCGAAGGCGGGUCUCUGGGCCGAUACUGACGGCUGAGGCACGGAAGGCCAGGGGAGCAAACGGG